rnacentral:rRNA from 1 species
GAUGAACGCUGGCGGCAGGCCUAACACAUGCAAGUCGAGCGGAUGAAGAGAGCUUGCUCUCUGAUUUAGCGGCGGACGGGUGAGUAAUGCCUAGGAAUCUGCCUGGUAGUGGGGGAUAACGUUCCGAAAGGAACGCUAAUACCGCAUACGUCCUACGGGAGAAAGUGGGGGAUCUUCGGACCUCACGCUAUCAGAUGAGCCUAGGUCGGAUUAGCUAGUUGGUGAGGUAAUGGCUCACCAAGGCGACGAUCCGUAACUGGUCUGAGAGGAUGAUCAGGCACACUGGAACUGAGACACGGUCCAGACUCCUACGGGAGGCAGCAGUGGGGAAUAGUGGACAAUGGGCGAAAGCCUGAUCCAGCCAUGCCGCGUGUGCGAAGAAGGUCUUCGGAUUGUAAAGCACUUUAAGUUGGGAGGAAGGGUUGUAGAUUAAUACUCUGCAAUUUUGACGUUACCGACAGAAUAAGCACCGGCUAACUUCGUGCCAGCCGCCGCGGUAA